GGGAUGGACGUACCUCUGGUGGACCGGUUGUGGCGCCAGCCGCAUAGCGGGUAGCUAUGUACGGACGGGAUAACCGCUGAAAGCAUCUAAGCGGGAAGCCCGCCCCAAGAUGAGGCCUCCCACGGCGUCAAGCCGGUAAGGACCCGGGAAGACGACCCGGUGGAUGGGCCGGGGGUGUAAGCGCCGCGAGGCGUUGAGCCGACCGGUCCCAAUCGUCCGAGGUCUUGACCCC
rnacentral:ncRNA from 1 species